rnacentral:rRNA from 1 species
UGCCAGCCGCCGCGGUAACACGUAGGGGGCAAGCGUUGUCCGGAAUCACUGGGCGUAAAGGGCGCGUAGGUGGUUUGUUAAGUUAAUAGUGAAAGCCCUCGGCUUAACCGAGGAAUUGCUAUUAAAACUGGCAAGCUAGAGUGUUGGAGGGGCAAGUGGAAUUCUUGGUGGAGCGGUGGAAUGCGUAGAUAUCAGGAGGAACGCCGGAGGCGAAAGCGACUUGCUGGACAACAACUGACGCUGAUGGGCGAAAGCUAGGGGAGCAAACGGGAUUAGAUA